rnacentral:rRNA from 1 species
CGGAAAGAUCAUUACCACACCGAUCCAAGAUCUGUCUUCAUUGUGAAUUCGGAUGGCAUUGGCAGCAUUAACGUGCUGUACUUUGUCGUCCACUGUGUUUGGCUUGUAUUUGCGUGCAGAUGCAGGCCAUCCAUAUUUCUUCUAUAUGGUAAAACUUAUAUGAAAUUUGUUGAUUCUAGUUUUUACUAGUAAUCUGCAAGACCGAAAUGACCUAAAGCUAAAGUGCAGCUGGUUUGGUGUUGAGCUUCGUGCCAGCACCACCCUGUACAUAAAACCUAAUGACUUACAACUUUCAGCGGUGGAUGUCUAGGUUCCCACAACGAUGAAGAACGCAGCGAAAUGCGAUACGUAAUGCGAAUUGCAAGACCUCGUGAAUCAUUAAAAUUUUGAACGCACAUUGCGCUUUCGGGAUUUUCCCGGGAGCAUACUUGUCUGAGUGUCUGUGGAUCCCACUCAGCGCUGGUUUACCAGUUGCUGGUUGCUUUGGCUUUGAUAGCUCUUGGCUGUCUUCGCUUAAAUUCUACAUCACUGUACGUGCAUAGAUCUAGUAGGGUCUUGGUCUGUCUGAAUGACGGCGUUGACACUCUCAUCUAUCUCUGGUAGCUUGUCUCUGGAGUUUAAAUUGAGUUUGUUGUUAGCUGUUUGCCAUACUGCCGAUUCAUUGUCUAUGAUCUAGGUAUUGGAUUAUCCGAUAUCUACACAAUUCCGGAUCUCAGAUCAAGUAAGAUUACCCGCUGAAUU